CAGUCGCCGCGGGAAUACGUAGGGUGCGAGCGUUAAUCGGAAUUACUGGGCGUAAAGCGUGCGCAGGCGGUUUUGUAAGACAGGCGUGAAAUCCCCGGGCUCAACCUGGGAAUGGCGCUUGUGACUGCAAAGCUAGAGUGCGGCAGCGGGGGAUGGAAUUCCGCGUGUAGCAGUGAAAUGCGUAGAUAUGCGGAGGAACACCGAUGGCGAAGGCAAUCCCCUGGGCCUGCACUGACGCUCAUGCACGAAAGCGUGGGGAGCAGACAGGAUUAGAUACCCGAGUAGUCCCUGUCUCUUAUAC
rnacentral:rRNA from 1 species